CACGUAGGCACCAAGCGUUGUCCGGAUUUAUUGGGCGUAAAGAGCUCGUAGGCGGUUCGGUAAGUCGGGUGUGAAAACCCGCGGCUCAACCGCGGGCCUGCAGCCGAUACGGGCAGGCUAGAGUUCGGUAGGGGAGACUGGAAUUCCUGGUGUAGCGGUGAAAUGCGCAGAUAUCAGGAGGAACACCGAUGGCGAAGGCAGCUCGCUGGGACGGUACUGACGCUGAGACGCGAAAGCGUGGGGAGCAAACAGG
rnacentral:rRNA from 1 species